UCCCACUGAAUUGUUUUAGAUUAGCAUGUGUUGUGUGUGUGUUGGGUGCAAUCAAUGCAUCUGCGCUAUCACGUGCAUGGUUGGUCUAUUCUGUAUAGGAAAUCUAAAAAAAAAAAAAUUACUUCCCCUUUUCAAAACGUUCCUGAAGAGCCACGAAUUGAAGAGUAACAUUGAUCGACUAAUGCCAUCGCAAUCAACCGAUGGCAGCAGGAUCAACUGAUGUCGGCAUCUAUCAACCGACAUACCACAACAAUAAACUGAUCAGUGUAGUGCGAUUGCCGAUUGUGAAUAUCCACACAUUGCAACAUGAAUAAUCUCUUAUGAGUGUACAUACAUGCACUGUCUGGCUGUUAAUGUUACGUACGAUGUUGUUAUUUCUUUGCAUGCAGAGUGGGCCAGGACCUCAUAAUCUAGACAGGGUACCAGACCAAGAUGGCUACCUUAUCAAUGGAGAUGGAGCAGUAAUGGUGUCUUCUGGUGAUUUGGGCAAUGCAUAGUAGCUGGUAUCGCGCAAAUGAAAUCCAGACAAACCGGAACAAUUCAAGAGAUUAUCAGUUGUUUUUUUACGACUUCGUGAGUGUAGCGUCCAUUUCCAGCAGCAAGGUUGUGAGUAAACGGCGCCACAACCAGAGGGAGCCUCUUUUGUCAUAGUGCAGUUCAACCAUACCAUCUUAGAUAGUACCUGUUGAUAGGUAUCUCAAGAUUCAUUUUGUACUACGAACAGGCCUAAAAACAUCAUCUUAUUAUUCUCAUUUGUCGGUGAUGAAAGUUUCUUACAUGUUUUAGUCCUCGACAAACUGUUGAGUUACAGCUUUUUGAGUUACUGCUAUUUGUAAAACAAAAUUCAAUUCCCAAGGCACUUUUGUGAAUCGGAGUGAAUCACAGUGUGCUAAGUUGCCCGUCUGUUAAAUCAUCUGAACUUAAUCUGUUUGUAGUAUAAAUAUCUGUUGGUAGUAUAAACAGCCCAGUAAGACAGUGACAUUACAUCAUUUGGCCAUACCGGUACUAGCUUCAUCAUACAUCUUGAUGAGAUCAAGCUAAGUUUAGAGGUCAUAUAAGUUGGGAAAGCCAUACUGUUAAAUUGCAAAGGUUUAUAUUGUGCAAAUCACUUUAGCAAAUAAGAUCAACAUCCCAUUGCGCCAUGGCAUCAUCUAACCCUGGUACCAGUCAACAUGGGGGAAAUGAAUGCAAAAAGUGUAAUAAAUCUGACAACCCACUGAUCCCCUCUUUUAUACCCGGUCAAGAUGAGCUAUGCUCUCGGUGCGUGCUUGUGACAC